rnacentral:rRNA from 1 species
AAUGAACGUUGGCGGCAUGGAUUAGGCAUGCAAGUCGAGCGAGAAGUGUAGCAAUACACGGAAAGCGGCGGAAGGGAGAGUAAUACGUGGGAAUCUGCCCUUAGACCUGGGAUAGCAGCGGGAAACUGCUGGUAAUACCAGAUAAUGUCUAUGGACCAAAGGUGUGAUUCCGUCUAGGGAUGAGCCCACGUCCUAUUAGCUAGUUGGUAGGGUAAUGGCCUACCAAGGCGAUGAUGGGUAGCGGGUGUGAGAGCAUGACCCGCCUCACUGGGACUGAGACACUGCCCAGACCCCUACGGGUGGCUGCAGUCGAGAAUCCUCGGCAAUGGGCGCAAGCCUGACCGAGCGAUGCCGCGUGCGGGAUGAAGGCCUUCGGGUUGUAAACCGCUGUCGAGGGGGAGCAACUUCCAUAGAGUUAUCUUUAUGGAUUGAGUGAUCCCUGGAGGAAGGACGGGCUAAGUUCGUGCCAGCCGCCGCAGUAACAC